GAUGAACGCUGGCGGCGUGCCUAAUACAUGCAAGUCGAGCGAACAGACGAGGAGCUUGCUCCUCUGACGUUAGCGGCGGACGGGUGAGUAACACGUGGAUAACCUACCUAUAAGACUGGGAUAACUUCGGGAAACCGGAGCUAAUACCGGAUAAUAUAUUGAACCGCAUGGUUCAAUAGUGAAAGACGGCUCUGCUGUCACUUAUAGAUGGAUCCGCGCCGCAUUAGCUAGUUGGUAAGGUAACGGCUUACCAAGGCAACGAUGCGUAGCCGACCUGAGAGGGUGAUCGGCCACACUGGAACUGAGACACGGUCCAGACUCCUACGGGAGGCAGCAGUAGGGAAUCUUCCGCAAUGGGCGAAAGCCUGACGGAGCAACGCCGCGUGAGUGAUGAAGGUCUUCGGAUCGUAAAACUCUGUUAUUAGGGAAGAACAAAUGUGGAAGUAACUAUGCACGUCUUGACGGUACCUAAUCAGAAAGCCACGGCUAACUACGUG
rnacentral:rRNA from 1 species